AGAGCAGGUACCCACAGACGACAAAAGAAUGUGGCAGAUUCUCUACAGUAGAGUUACAGGAAGUUGGGAGCCAUCUGAUAUAAGUGCUGAGGAUUGAGCUUGAGUCCUCUGGAAGAGCAGUAUGCACUCAAUCACAAAGACAUCUUUCCAGCCCCUGGCAAGGCCAUUCAUUGAAGGAUGAGAUAUUGAGCCCCUUCAUAAAACAGUGGGUAUACAACAGCAUUUGAAAGUGGACAGAAUAUGUUAGUUCAUCCCUGCGUCCCCAAAGCUGGCCGCCGACUACGACCAUGAAGGCUGCUGGUGCCCUCUGGAGGAAUUUUUGUGCAUUGCAGAAGCCUAGCUGGAAUGGAGAACAUCCACUUACUUAGAAGACCCAGUAAAAGCAGAACCGCAGGAAUA